UGGAUGUCAUGCGCUGAAGCCUGGAGACUCCAGAUCCGGGGUCAGCAAACUGCAGCGGGGGGCAGCCGCCUGCUUUUGUGAACGCAGCGUAUUGAAACACACCCAUGCCCAUUUGUUCACAGAUGCUCUGUGGCUGCGUGUGCCCUACAGCAGCACGGUUCAGUAGGCAGAGGCCACUUCUACUACCCGGCUAAGGAAAAGAUGGGCAGAGCCUGCUCUGGAUGACGCUGUGUUCCAGCCGGCGGAGAGGGUCCCCCAUUUCCUCGGAACUAAUCCUCCAGGAAAUUAACAGACAGUUUGCUGUGGACAACUAGAGCCCUCCCCUUCCUUAGCCCUGAGCGAGGUAAACAAUUCUGCUCUGCCUUCCGGAAGUUUCAAAUUAGCUCUUCAACCAGCGUUUUCACGCAGCUUCCAGUCCUGCCACAGUCUUGAAGAAGAGAUCAGCUUUCGCGUCUUCAUUCUUGCCAAGAUUAGCUGCCCUUCGAAUCUCCCGUGUGUCAUUAAUCCCAGCACGAACAAGCACUUGGGAACUGCGGGCUGCAGAUGGUCUGCUUAUCCUACGGAACCCUCCUCUUUUGAGGCUUAACCCCUUUAGUCUUUGUUGCUUCUGUAGCUUUCUGAUGCCAUUAAAGAGAUGAUUUUUAUAUUUUUGCCUGGCCUUUCUAGUUCUUAGUGGGAGCCUUGAUCUGCUGCACUCCAUCCUACUUGGAAGUAGAAGUCUGUUUCCCCAUGUUUAAAAUGUUAAUUUCAGGCCACGCACAGUGGCUCAUGCCUAUAAUCCUAGCACUUUAGGAGGCCAAAGUGGGAGGGUCACUUGAGCCCAGGAGUUCCA
rnacentral:lncRNA from 10 species